rnacentral:rRNA from 1 species
AUGGUUGGACGAGAUAUUAACUGUUUCAUUUAAAAUUUUUGUAGAAUUUUAUUUUUUAGUUAAAAAGCUAAAAUUUAUUUAAAAGACGAGAAGACCCUAUAAAUCUUUAUAUUUUUUUUUUAUUUUAAUUAUAAAGAUUAAUUAAAUUUUAAUAGAAAAAAAUAUUUUAUUGGGGUGAUAUUAAAAUUUAAAAAACUUUUAAUUUUUAAAAACAUUAAUUUAUGAAUAAAUGAUCCAUUAGUAAUGAUUAAAAAAUUAAGUUACUUUAGGGAUAACAGCGUAAUUUUUUUGGAGAGUUCAUAUCGAUAAAAAAGAUUGCGACCUCGAUGUUGGAUUAAGAUAUAAUUUUGGGUGUAGCCGUUCAAAUUUUAAGUCUGUUCGACUUUUAAAUUCUUACAUGAUCUGAGUUCAAACCGGUGUAAGCCAGGUUGGUUUCUAUCUUUAAAAAGUUAUGAUAUUUUAGUACGAAAGGACCAAAUAUCAAAAUAAUUAUAUUUUUUAUAAGAAUAUUAUUAAUGU